rnacentral:rRNA from 1 species
UAGCAUAUCAAUAAGCGGAGGAAAAGAAACCAACAGGGAUUGCCCUAGUAACGGCGAGUGAAGCGGCAACAGCUCAAAUUUGAAAUCUGGCUACUUUGUAGUCCGAGUUGUAAUUUGUAGAGGAUGCUUUUGGUGAGGUGCCUUCCGAGUUCCCUGGAACGGGACGCCAUAGAGGGUGAGAGCCCCGUACGGUUGGAUGCCAAACCUUUGUAUAGCUCCUUCAACGAGUCGAGUAGUUUGGGAAUGCUGCUCUAAAUGGGAGGUAUAUCUCUUCUAAAGCUAAAUACCGGCUAGAGACCGAUAGCGCACAAGUAGAGUGAUCGAAAGAUGAAAAGCACUUUGAAAAGAGAGUUAAACAGCACGUGAAAUUGUUGAAAGGGAAGCGCCUAUGACCAGACUUGUCUCUAUCAGUUUUGCUAGUUUUCGGACUGGUUUACUCUGUUAGUACAGGCCAGCAUCAGUUUGUUGUUAGGGAGAAAGGCUUAGGGAAUGUGGCUCCCUCGGGAGUGUUAUAGCCCUUUGCAUAAUACCUUUCGGCAGACUGAGGACCGCGCUUCGGCAAGGAUGCUGGCGUAAUGGUCAUCAGCGACCCGUCUUGAAACACGGACCAAGGAGUCAACCUUAUGUGCGAGUGUUUGGGUGUAAAACCCCAGCGCGUAAUGAACGUGAACGUAGGUGAGAGCUUCGGCGCAUCAUCGACCGAUUCUGAUGUUCUCGGAUGGAUUUGAGUAAGAGCACACAGGGUUGGACCCGAAAGAAGGUGAACUAUGCUUGUAUAGGGUGAAGCCAGAGGAAACUCUGGUGGAGGCUCGCAGCGGUUCUGACGUGCAAAUCGAUCGUCAAAUAUGAGCAUGGGGGCGAAAGACUAAUCGAACCUUCUAGUAUCUGGUUCCAGCAGUC